GACGAACGCUGGCGGCGUGCUUAACACAUGCCAGUCGAACGCUGAAGCUCAGCUUGCUGGGUGGAUGAGUGGCGAACGGGUGAGUAACACGUGAGUAACCUGCCCUCUUCUUUGGGAUAACGCCCGGAAACGGGUGCUAAUACUGGAUAUUCACUGAUUCUCGCAUGGGGGUUGGUGGAAAGGUUUUUUCUGGUGGGGGAUGGGCUCGCGGCCUAUCAGCUUGUUGGUGGGGUGAUGGCCUACCAAGGCUUUGACGGGUAGCCGGCCUGAGAGGGUGACCGGUCACAUUGGGACUGAGAUACGGCCCAGACUCCUACGGGAGGCAGCAGUGGGGAAUAGUGCACAAUGGGCGAAAGCCUGAUGCAGCGACGCCGCGUGAGGGAUGGAGGCCUUCGGGUUGUAAACCUCUUUCGCUCAUGGUCAAGCCGCAGCUUUGGGUUGUGGUGAGGGUAGUGGGUAAAGAAGCGCCGGCUAACUACGUG
rnacentral:rRNA from 1 species